GAACUGUACAGUAAUUUACUGUAUUCUUAUCCUAGAUCUGUGCCUAAGGACCUCUACAAUGGCAGAACUGUACAGUACAUUGUUACUACUUUAUUCUAAAUCUAUACAACUAUUGAAACCACUUUAACCCAACACCUAGCAACCUCUUGGCAUGACGGCUAAUUUGUUAGGUUUUAACAGGCUAAUUUGUUAGGUUUUAACAGGCUAAUUUGUUAGGUUUUAACAGGCUAAUUUGUUAGGUUUUAACAGGCUAAUUUGUUAGGUUUUAACAGGCUAAUUUGUUAGGUUUUAACAGGCUAAUUUGUUAGGUUUUAACAGGCUAAUUUGUUAGGUUUUAACAGGCUAAUUUGUUAGGUUUUAACAGGCUAAUUUGUUAGGUUUCAACAGGCUAAUUUGUUAGGUUUUAACAGGCUAAUUUGUUAGGUUUUAACAGGCUAAUUUGUUAGGUUUCAACAGGCUAAUUUGUUAGGUUUUAACAGGCUAAUUUGUUAGGUUUUAACAGGCUAAUUUGUUAGGUUUCAACAGGCUAAUUUGUUAGGUUUUAACAGGCUAAUUUGUUAGGUUUCAACAGGCUAAUUUGUUAGGUUUUAACAGGCUAAUUUGUUAGGUUUCAACAGGCUAAUUUGUUAGGUUUCAACAGGCUAAU